rnacentral:rRNA from 1 species
AUGCUAAUGAUGUUUAAUUUUGACAAAAAAGAAAUUCAGACUCUGAACUCCAUGAAUUAUCAUUGCGACAAGACCAAGGAAGAUUCUCUUUUCUGCAUUGAUGAAGCUGUCAAGAAAGGGUUGAUAUCACCAGCUAAGAACAUCAAUUUUGCCGAAUGGACCAAAAAACGCUAUGAGAACAUACCACAACAGACCGAUGGGACUUCCUAUGAGGUUUGGACACUGCAGUACAUGUUGUCAUGGAACGGGGAUGAAAUGACCGAUAUUUUGAACCAGAAGGAAGUGUACGAUGCCCAGCAAGCAGUUCUACCUGAUGCUUCAGAAUAG